ensembl:snRNA Gm23412 predicted gene, 23412
GUGCUCGCUUCGGCAGCACAUAUACUAAAAUUGGAACGAUACAGAAAAGAUUAGCAUGGCCCCUGCACAAGGAUGACACACAAAUUUGUGAAGUGUUCCAUAUUUUU